CAGAACAUAACUUAACUUAAAGUAUUUCGCUUACACCGAGACGAUAUUUGUGUAAAUCAAAUUGUUCUGA
rnacentral:tRNA from 1 species